UGGCACUCUCCUCGCUCGAUCCCCUUUGUCCUUCCACGCGCCGCCACCUCUCUCUCUUCCUUCCCCGAUCCAGAUCGAAGACGACGGCUCCCGCUGAUGGGAUCCCACCGCAUCACUCUCCCGCCAAUGGGAUCCCACCGCAUCGCUCUCCCGCCUUCCACCCCACCGCAUCGCUCUCCCACCGUCCACCCACACUGGCCGUUUCGCUCUCGCUCGCACCUAAUCCAGAUCCCGAUCCGCAGCAACGUCGCCAACAUCUCGGGGCCCUCCGAUCCCACCUUUCCCUUCUGACCCCGAGGCAGCCGGCCAAGGUCUACGGCAGCGAGGGCAGCGCCUACUACGAGUGGAGCCCCGCGGAGCUGCCCAUGCUCGGUGUCGCCUCCAUCGGAUGCCAUGGCAGACGCGGCUGGGCAUCACGCUGGACUGCGCUCGCCCAUCGCCAGCAGCACCACCCGUCCUCUCCCUCCCAUUGACCCACCUACCAGCACCGGCGAUCCAGAUCGUCUCAGUUUAAGGACAUUCUGUGGAAUGAAGGAAGUGAAAGAAGUCGUAGUGGUGCGCGAUCCAUCCUACGAAAAUGUAUUUGAAGGAGUUCUAGGCUGAAGACAUUCGAAGAAGCUCGAAGCCCCAGUCAGCAACUUGCUUUAUAUGUUACUGAAUUUGCAAUGCUGAAUUUCUUGAGAAAUUUGAUGUACUGCUGAACAUGUUGGGAAUUUGGUGUAUAUUUGGUCGCUUAACUUGUUAUUUAAAUGUUGUUGGUAGUUAUGUAGAUAUACUGAGAAUAUUUUUUUUGACUAAAAAUAAGUUGACAUUUUGAUCAUUCUCCCCGGGCACGUCACAGACCCCGACGACUGCAACAGAUUUGUUCAGGCCACAGUCGACCACUACGGCCAAUGGACGGCUCGGAUUUGACGUUUUUGGUGUCUUACUGGUUUUCGGGGUGGGGGUGGUGCAGUGGCCGCAUGAACACGCUCAGGGGCAUCAUCGGCCGGGCGCUCAGGAGACAGGCGAGGUGGUUGCUGCCCACCCAGAAAGUCUGCAACAUGGGGGAGUCCAUCUUUGGCCGUCCCAAGCACGACCAUGAUAGACCCACAACGGCAGGCAGUUCACUGAAAUUCAACAACAUCUGGUGGUCGUCAAGUCAAGGAACCUCUUCUUGCCGCGGCCGUCCUCCUCCCCCUGCUCUGCUCUGCUCAACAACUAGCAUCCACGGCUAAAACAAAGGGCGACUAGUGAUGCAACACAUCAAGCAGCAGCAGCAGGGGGGAGGGGGUCUCUCGAACAUCGACGUUGCCACUCAUUGCUACUGUCGUUGAUUGAUGAUGGAUGGCCGCUGUUAGUUUAGCUCCUUGGUAGUCCACUCUUGCAAGCGUCUACAAUUGCUGGCAGAAAUAGAAAUGGUAGCUCUAGUCCCAUGUUGUAGUUCCAUGUAGUUCCUUUGCUCGGACUGUCCUUUGUUGCUUCAUUUCUAUGUUAAUUCAGUCUUUGUUGAAUGUGUCUAUUGUCGUGGCUGUGUAAUGAAUCCUUUUGUGUUGAAAGAAAUAAAAUGGUUUGGAUACAUGCAUA